rnacentral:ncRNA from 1 species
UAAUGAUUGACUGAACAGGCAUCUGCAUUCUGCGGACUUGCCGGGCUUGGUGCAACCGGGCAGCAGUUUGAUUUUUGGAAAGAAUUUCAGCCUGCGGGACAGAC